rnacentral:rRNA from 1 species
UACGAAGGGGCUAGCGUUGCUCGGAAUCACUGGGCGUAAAGCGCACGUAGGCGGAUUGUUAAGUCAGGGUGAAAUCCUGGAGCUCAACUCCAGAACUGCCUUUGAUACUGGCGAUCUUGAGUUCGGGAGAGGUGAGUGGAAUUCCCAGUGUAGAGGUGAAAUUCGUAGAUAUUGGGAAGAACACCCGUGGCGAAAGCGGCUCUCUGGAACGGUACUGACGCUGAGACGCGAAAGCGUGGGGAGCGAACAGG